UAGGGAAUAUUCCGCAAUGGGCGAAAGCCUGACGGAGCAACGCCGCGUGAGUGAUGAAGGCCUUCGGGUCGUAAAGCUCUGUUGCAGGGGAAAAAGAAAGUGAUUGUACCCUGUCAGAAAGGACCGGCAAACUUCGUGCCAGCAGCCGCGGUAAUACGUAGGUGGCAAGCGUUGUCCGGAUUUAUUGGGUUUAAAGGUGCGUAGGUGGCCCUGUAAGUCAGUGGUGAAAUAUCUCAGCUUAACUGAGAGGGUGCCAUUGAUACUGCAGGGCUUGAGUACAGAUGAGGUAGGCGGAAUUGACGGUGUAGCGGUGAAAUGCAUAGAUAUCGUCAAGAACACCGAUAGCGAAGGCAGCUUACCAAGCUGUAACUGACACUGAGGCACGAAAGUGUGGGGAUCAAACAGGAUUAGAUACCCCCGUAGUCCCUGAGCGGGCUGGCAAGGCGCAU
rnacentral:rRNA from 1 species